rnacentral:rRNA from 1 species
UGGACGAAAGUCUGACGGAGCAACGCCGCGUGAGUGAUGAAGGCUUUCGGGUCGUAAAACUCUGUUGUUAGGGAAGAACAAGUGCUAGUUGAAUAAGCUGGCACCUUGACGGUACCUAACCAGAAAGCCACGGCUAACUACGUGCCAGCAGCCGCGGUAAUACGUAGGUGGCAAGCGUUAUCCGGAAUUAUUGGGCGUAAAGCGCGCGCAGGUGGUUUCUUAAGUCUGAUGUGAAAGCCCACGGCUCAACCGUGGAGGGUCAUUGGAAACUGGGAGACUUGAGUGCAGAAGAGGAAAGUGGAAUUCCAUGUGUAGCGGUGAAAUGCGUAGAGAUAUGGAGGAACACCAGUGGCGAAGGCGACUUUCUGGUCUGUAACUGACACUGAGGCGCGAAAGCGUGGGGAGCAAACAGGAUUAGAUACCGUGGUAGUCCACGCCGUAAACGAUGAGUGCUAAGUGUUAGAGGGUUUCCGCCCUUUAGUGCUGAAGUUAACGCAUUAAGCACUCCGCCUGGGGAGUACGGCCGCAAGGCUGAAACUCAAAGGAAUUGACGGGGGCCCGCACAAGCGGUGGAGCAUGUGGUUUAAUUCGAAGCAACGCGAAGAACCUUACCAGGUCUUGACAUCCUCUGACAACCCUAGAGAUAGGGCUUCUCCUUCGGGAGCAGAGUGACAGGUGGUGCAUGGUUGUCGUCAGCUCGUGUCGUGAGAUGUUGGGUUAAGUCCCGCAACGAGCGCAACCCUUGAUCUUAGUUGCCAUCAUUAAGUUGGGCACUCUAAGGUGACUGCCGGUGACAAACCGGAGGAAGGUGGGGAUGACGUCAAAUCAUCAUGCCCCUUAUGACCUGGGCUACACACGUGCUACAAUGGACGGUACAAAGAGCUGCAAGACCGCGAGGUGGAGCUAAUCUCAUAAAACCGUUCUCAGUUCGGAUUGUAGGCUGCAACUCGCCUACAUGAAGC